rnacentral:tRNA from 1 species
GGGAAUAUGGCUUAGUGGAAGGUGCUUGCCUAGCAUGCAUGAAGCCCUGGGUUCAAUUCCUCAGUACCA